UGGAGCUCACAGUUCCUCUGCACUGCCCAUAUGACAGCUCUGUUUCUCUGGGUGUUGUUGGCUGCUCUGUGCCUUGAAUGCAGAGGCCAAAAAGACAACGUGAUGCAACCACAAGGAGAUGUGACGGCUGCUGAAGGAGAGGCAGUAACUCUGGGCUGUCGAUACAACAGCAGUUACACCAGUAAUUAUCUGUACUGGUACAAACAGGAAGGAAACAGUCGGCCCACAUUCAUCCUGAACCGACUCACACUGGACCAAGGAACCACAGCAGAGACGUUCAAGGAAAGAUUCACAUCCACACUGGAUCAAACAUCAAGAUCAGCUCCUCUGAAGAUCGAGAAGCUUCAUGUGUCAGACUCUGCUGUGUACUACUGUGCUCUGCAGCCCACAGUGACAGGAAACAGCUAAACUCUGAACAAAAACCUCUGGAGCAAAGACAACACAGUACUAAACAUCAUCCGCUAGAGGGCAACAUCAUCAGGUUGGUGCUUGUGCAGGACUUGUGCACUGUGUUCAACCAUUCAGUCAAUAAUAACUGCUGCUGUGCAGAGAAAAGUUCUCACACUGAAUGUUGAACAUCAGCCACUUU